rnacentral:rRNA from 1 species
UACGUAGGGUGCAAGCGUUGUCCGGAAUUAUUGGGCGUAAAGAGCUCGUAGGUGGCCUGUCGCGUCGGCUGUGAAAACUCGGGGCUCAACUCCGAGCUUGCAGUCGAUACGGGCAGGCUAGAGUUCGGCAGGGGAGUCUGGAAUUCCUGGUGUAGCGGUGAAAUGCGCAGAUAUCAGGAGGAACACCGGUGGCGAAGGCGGGACUCUGGGCCGAUACUGACGCUGAGGAGCGAAAGCGUGGGGAGCAAACAGG